AAAAGUGGCGCUAAGAAUACUACCGGGUCCCCAAAUAAUUGUGAAUACAGAAGCGAUGACGCAGUAUCUUGCUACAUUUCCAUUCUCGACUGGAACGCCACUUACCAAGGAGAAAUCAAUCACACUGAGCUAGGGAAUGGGAACUUCAACCUCACCAUCGCUAUAAAAAAAUGGAAUCUUCCACAAAAUCCUGCUGAUAUGUGGAUACACAUGAAAUUUACAGAAAAUUCUACUGAUCGUUACACCAGCACAACACCUUCAGAUUUUGUGCCAGUUCCGACUGCAGAACCAGCGUUCCAGAACCUUUCCAUGUUUAAACAAAAUUCUAGUUUGUCAGAAAAUGCGUGGGCUGAGCUAAACAAGACAGUAUGGAGACGCAUCAAGCUCGAUGUUAUGAACACAAUGAUGACAAAGUAUAAAGACUGGGUAGAGAAGGAAAUACGAUAUUAGGAAGUUUAUGGGGACGGCCACCUAAAUGGGCUCUAUAUCAUUGUAUGUCAUUGACUUCGAGAAAUGUGACUAAAUCAAUGGCGUAUUACUCUG